GACGAACGCGGGCGGCGUGCCUAAUACAUGCAAGUAGAACGCUGAAGAGAGGAGCUUGCUCUUCUUGGAUGAGUUGCGAACGGGUGAGUAACGCGUAGGUAACCUGCCUUGUAGCGGGGGAUAACUAUUGGAAACGAUAGCUAAUACCGCAUAACAAUGGAUGACACAUGUCAUUUAUUUGAAAGGGGCAAUUGCUCCACUACAAGAUGGACCUGCGUUGUAUUAGCUAGUAGGUGAGGUAACGGCUCACCUAGGCGACGAUACAUAGCCGACCUGAGAGGGUGAUCGGCCACACUGGGACUGAGACACGGCCCAGACUCCUACGGGAGGCAGCAGUAGGGAAUCUUCGGCAAUGGGGGCAACCCUGACCGAGCAACGCCGCGUGAGUGAAGAAGGUUUUCGGAUCGUAAAGCUCUGUUGUAAGUCAAGAACGAGUGUGAGAGUGGAAAGUUCACACU
rnacentral:rRNA from 1 species